CAUCCGGACAAAUAGGGCCUGAGAUCCUGGCCCUGACAGCGAGUGCGCCAGGCAACCCUAAAACCAGAUUCAAAGAGGUGACAUCAUCUGUCAAAAGCACUGUGGCCGAAGGGGGAAAGAAAAAAGUUAACGCUUUGGAAUAAUAAGGACAACAUCUGGGAAAACACAACUUCAUGCCCAGCUAAUCUAAGGAACUUGGAAAGAAAAGCGUCAGAACUUCUUUAAGUUUCUUGGAG